rnacentral:ncRNA from 1 species
GGUCAAGCUACAAAGGGCGCAUGGUGAAUGCCUUGGCACUAGGAGCCGAUGAAGGACGUGAUAAGCUGCGAUAAGCUUCGGGUAGACGCAAAUAGUCUGUGAACCGAAGAUUUCCGAAUGAGGAAACUCUCAUGGGUAACCCCAUGAACUGUAUACUGAAUUCAUAGGUAUAUAGAGGUAAACCCAGGGAACUGAAACAUCUAAGUACCUGGAGGAAGAGAAAGAAAAAUCGAUUUCCUUAGUAGCGGCGAGCGAAACGGAAAGAGCCCAAACCGGAAACUUGUUUCCGGGGUUGCGGGCAGAUCAUUAAAGCUUUAUAUCUUAACCGAAGAUUUCUGGAAAGUUAAACCAUAGAAGGUAAUAGUCCUGUAGGUGAAAAGAGAAAAAAGCCCGAUCUGUACCAGAGUACCACGAGACACGUGAAACCUUGUGGGAAGCUGGGAGGACCACCUCCCAAGGCUAAAUACUACCUAGUGACCGAUAGUGAAGCAGUACCGUGAGGGAAAGGUGAAAAGAACCCCAGACGGGGAGUGAAAUAGAACCUGAAACCGUGUGUCCACAACCGAUCAAAACACGUUAAUGUGUGAUGAUGUGCUUUUUGUAGAACGAGCCAACGAGUUACGGUAUGCAGCAAGGUUAAGCACUUAAGGUGCGAAGCCGAAGGGAAACCAAGUCUGAAUAGGGCGCAUAGUUGCAUGCUGUAGACCCGAAACCGGGUGACCUAUCCAUGGCCAGGGUGAAGCGGAAGUAAAAUUCCGUGGAGGCCCGAACCACAAUGGUGUUGAAAAACCAUGGGAUGAGCUGUGGAUAGGGGAGAAAUUCCAAUCGAACUCGGAUAUAGCUGGUUCUCCUCGAAAUAGCUUUAGGGCUAGCGCCAUGAAUGAGUACCGGAGGUAGAGCACUGAAUGAGGUAGGGGCUGACAACAGUUACCGAACUCUAUCAAACUCCGAAUGCUGGAUACUUGAAUCAUGGUAGUCAGACUGCGAAUGAUAAGAUCCGUAGUCAAAAGGGAAACAGCCCAGAUCACCAGCUAAGGUCCCAAAGUAUAGAUUAAGUGGUAAAGGAUGUGGGAUUUCUAAGACAACUAGGAUGUUGGCUCAGAAGCAGCCAUUCAUUAAAAGAGUGCGUAAUAGCUCACUAGUCAAGAGAUCCUGCGCCGAAAAUGUCCGGGGCUAAAAUCUAACACCGAAGCUGUGAACUUGUACUUCGUACAAGUGGUAGAGGAGCAUCCUGUAUGGGCUGAAGUCGUACCGAAAGGAGCGGUGGACUGUACAGGAGAGAGUAUGUUGGCAUAAGUAGCGAGAACUAAGUGAGAAUCUUAGUGGUCGAAAACCUAAGGUUUCCUGGGGAAGGUUCGUCCGCCCAGGGUAAGUCGGGACCUAAGCCGAGGCCGAAAGGCGUAGGUGAUGGACAAUCGGUUGAUAUUCCGAUACCGCAGAGCAACGUUAUGAGAAAUGGGAUGACGCAGAAGGAUAGGAUAUGCGUACGUUAUUGGAAGUACGUCUAAGCACUGAGAGUGGAAGAUAGGAAAAUCCGUCUUCCUUAAGCUUGGGGUGUAAUGGUGAGGUAGUUUACUACCGAAAUAUCUGAUUUCAUACUGCCAAGAAAAGUCUCUAUCCAGGAGCUCUGUGCCCGUACCGCAAACCGACACAGGUAGGUGAGGAGAGAAUCCUAAGACCAUCGGAAGAAUUGCUGUUAAGGAACUCGGCAAAUUGACCCCGUAACUUCGGGAGAAGGGGUGCCUACGAGAGUAGGUCGCAGAGAAUAGGCCCAAGCAACUGUUUAUCAAAAACACAGGUUUCUGCUAAAGCGAAAGCUGAAGUAUAGGAGCUGACGCCUGCCCGGUGCUGGAAGGUUAAGGGGAAUGCUUAGC